rnacentral:rRNA from 1 species
GUCCUUUUGAAUUUAAUUUAAGGUUUAACCUGCCCACUGAAAUUUUUUGAAGGGCCGCAGUAAUUUGACUGUGCAAAGGUAGCAUAAUCAUUAGUUUUUUAAUUGAAAGCUUGUAUGAAGGGUUGGACGAGGUAAAUUCUGUCUCUAUUUAAUUUUAUAUAGAAUUUAAUUUUUAAGUUAAAAAGCUUAAAUUUUUUUAAAAGACGAGAAGACCCUAUAGAUCUUUAUAUUAAAAAUAUUAAUUUUAAUUAAGAAUAUUUAAUUUUUUAGUAUUUAUAAUAUUUUAUUGGGGUAAUAAAAAGAUUAAAAUAAUUCUUUUUUUAUUUUAACAUUUAUUUAUGGUUAUAUGAUCCAAUUUUAUUGAUUAAAAGAUUAAGUUACCUUAGGGAUAACAGCGUAAUUUUUUUAGAGAGUUCAUAUCGAUAAAAAAGUUUGCGACCUCGAUGUUGGAUUAAAAAUUAUCUUAGGUGUAGAAGUUUAAGAUUUUGGUCUGUUCGACCAUUAAAUUUUU